rnacentral:rRNA from 1 species
CCUACGAGAGGCAGCAGUGAGGAAUAUUGGUCAAUGGGCGGAAGCCUGAACCAGCCAAGUCGCGUGAGGGAAUAAGGCCCUACGGGUCGUAAACCUCUUUUGCCGGGGAGCAAGGGCCGGGACGAGUCCCGGUCCGGAGAGUACCCGUAGAAAAAGCCUCGGCUAACUCCGUGCCCGCAGCCGCGGUAAUACGGGGGAUGCGAGCGUUAUCCGGUGUUAUUGGGUUUAAAGGGUGCGUAGGCGGGCCUUUAAGCCGGCGGUCAAAUGUCGGGGCUCAACCCCGGCCUGCCGUCGGAACUGGGGGCCUUGAGUGGGCGAGAAGUAUGCGGAAUGCGUGGUGUAGCGGUGAAAUGCAUAGAUAUCACGCAGAACCCCGAUUGCGAAGGCAGCAUACCGGCGCCCGACUGACGCUGAGGCACGAAAGUGCGGGUAUCGAACAGGAUUAGAUACCCGAGUAGUC